rnacentral:rRNA from 1 species
AGGGUUUGAUCCUGGCUCAGGACGAACGCUGGCGGCGUGCCUAACACAUGCAAGUCGAACGGAGGUAUUUGAGAAUUUAUUCUAAGAUAUCUUAGUGGCGAACGGGUGAGUAACGCGUAGGCAACCUACCUCAGGCUGGGGGAUAACACAUGGAAACGUGUGCUAAUACCGCAUAAAGUUUAACUGUGGCAUCGCAGAUAAAACAAAGGAGUAAUCCGGCAAGAGAUGGGCCUGCGUCCAAUUAGCUAGUUGGUGGGGUAAAAGCUUACCAAGGCGACGAUUGGUAGCCGAACUGAGAGGUUGAUCGGCCACAUUGGGACUGAGACACGGCCCAAACUCCUACGGGAGGCAGCAGUGGGGAAUAUUGCGCAAUGGGGGGAACCCUGACGCAGCAACGCCGCGUGAAGGAAGAAGGCUUUCGGGUUGUAAACUUCUUUGAAUGGGGACGAAGGAAGUGACGGUACCCAUAAAACAAGCCACGGCUAACUACGUGCCAGCAGCCGCGGUAAUACGUAGGUGGCAAGCGUUGUCCGGAAUUACUGGGUGUAAAGGGCGUGUAGGCGGGAGAGCAAGUCAGAUGUGAAAUUCCAAGGCUUAACCAUGGAGCUGCAUCUGAAACUGUUUUUCUUGAGUAUCGGAGAGGAAAGUGGAAUUCCUAGUGUAGCGGUGAAAUGCGUAGAGAUUAGGAGGAACACCAGUGGCGAAGGCGGCUUUCUGGACGAUAACUGACGCUGAGGCGCGAAAGCGUGGGGAGCAAACAGGAUUAGAUACCCUGGUAGUCCACGCUGUAAACGAUGGAUACUAGGUGUAGGAGGUAUCGACCCCUUCUGUGCCGGAGUUAACACAAUAAGUAUCCCACCUGGGGAGUACGGCCGCAAGGUUGAAACUCAAAGGAAUUGACGGGGGCCCGCACAAGCAGUGGAGUAUGUGGUUUAAUUCGAAGCAACGCGAAGAACCUUACCAGGUCUUGACAUCCCUUGAAGUUUGUAGAGAUACAAAUGUUCCUUCGGGACAAGGAGACAGGUGGUGCAUGGUUGUCGUCAGCUCGUGUCGUGAGAUGUUGGGUUAAGUCCCGCAACGAGCGCAACCCUUAUCGUUAGUUACCAGCACGUUAUGGUGGGGACUCUAACGAGACUGCCGGCGACAAGCCGGAGGAAGGUGGGGAUGAUGUCAAAUCAUCAUGCCCCUUAUGACCUGGGCUACACACGUACUACAAUGGCCGUUACAAUGGGAAGCUAAGCUGUGAAGUGGAGCAAAUCCCCAAAGGCGGUCCCAGUUCGGAUUGUGGGCUGAAACUCGCCCACAUGAAGUCGGAAUUGCUAGUAAUGGUAGGUCAGCAUACUACCGUGAAUACGUUCCCGGGCCUUGUACACACCGCCCGUCACACCAUGAGAGUUGGUAACACCCGAAGUCAGUAGUCUAACCGUAAGGAGGGCGCUGCCGAAGGUGGGACCGAUGAUUGGGGUGAAGUCGUAACAAGGUAGCCGUAUCGGAAGGUGCGGCUG